rnacentral:rRNA from 1 species
AAAAGGCGGCGUAAGCUGUCGCUAAAGGAUGGACCCGCGGUGCAUUAGCUAGUUGGUAAGGUAACGGCUUACCAAGGCGACGAUGCAUAGCCGAGUUGAGAGACUGAUCGGCCACAUUGGGACUGAGACACGGCCCAAACUCCUACGGGAGGCAGCAGUAGGGAAUCUUCCACAAUGGGCGAAAGCCUGAUGGAGCAACGCCGCGUGAGUGAAGAAGGUUUUCGGAUCGUAAAGCUCUGUUGUUGGUGAAGAAGGAUAGAGGUAGUAACUGGCCCCUAUUUGACGGUAAUCAACCAGAAAGUCACGGCUAACUACGUGCCAGCAGCCGCGGUAAUACGUAGGUGGCAAGCGUUGUCCGGAUUUAUUGGGCGUAAAGCGAGCGCAGGCGGAAAGAUAAGUCUGAUGUGAAAGCCCCCGGCUUAACCGAGGAAUUGCAUCGGAAACUGUGUUUCUUGAGUGCAGAAGAGGAGAGUGGAACUCCAUGUGUAGCGGCGGAAUGCGUAGAUAUAUGGAAGAACACCAGUGGCGAAGGCGGCUCUCUGGUCUGUAACUGACGCUGAGGCUCGAAAGCAUGGGUAGCGAACAGGAUUAGAUACCCUGGUAGUCCAUGCCGUAAACGAUGAGUGCUAAGUGUUGGGAGGUUUCCGCCUCUCA